UGAAACUAUUUGUUCCAACUUCAGAAAGCUGGAGAAUCACACACAACUUCAAUAUUUGCUUGGAGAAAAAAAAG